rnacentral:rRNA from 1 species
UCGAUCUCAAAUCAAGUAAGACUACCCGCUGAA